rnacentral:rRNA from 1 species
AGUGAACGCUGGCGGUAGGCCUAACACAUGCAAGUCGAACGGCAGCACAGUAAGAGCUUGCUCUUACGGGUGGCGAGUGGCGGACGGGUGAGGAAUACAUCGGAAUCUACUUUUUCGUGGGGGAUAACGUAGGGAAACUUACGCUAAUACCGCAUACGACCUACGGGUGAAAGCAGGGGAUCUUCGGACCUUGCGCGAUUGAAUGAGCCGAUGUCGGAUUAGCUAGUUGGCGGGGUAAAGGCCCACCAAGGCGACGGUCCGUAGCUGGUCUGAGAGGAUGGUCGGCCACACUGGAGGUGAGACACGGUCCAGAGUCCUACGGGAGGCAGCAGUGGGGAAGAUUGGACAAUGGGCGGAAGCCUGAACCAGCCAUACCGCGUGGGUGAAGAAGGCCUGCGGGUUGUAAAGCCCUUUUGUUGGGAAAGAAAAGCAGCAGGUUAAUACCCCGCUGUUCGGACGGUACCCAAAGAAUAAGCACCGGCUAACUUCGG